rnacentral:rRNA from 1 species
UGGGGAAUAUUGGACAAUGGGCGCAAGCCUGAUCAAGCCAUGCCGCGUGUGUGAAGAAGGCCUUUUGGUUGUAAAGCACUUUAAGCGAGGAGGAGGCUACUUGGAUUAAUACUCUAAGAUAGUGGACGUUACUCGCAGAAUAAGCACCGGCUAACUCUGUGCCAGCAGCCGCGGUAAUACAGAGGGUGCGAGCGUUAAUCGGAUUUACUGGGCGUAAAGCGUGCGUAGGCGGCUUCUUAAGUCGGAUGUGAAAUCCCUGAGCUUAACUUAGGAAUUGCAUUCGAUACUGGGAAGCUAGAGUAUGGGAGAGGAUGGUAGAAUUCCAGGUGUAGCGGUGAAAUGCGUAGAGAUCUGGAGGAAUACCGAUGGCGAAGGCAGCCAUCUGGCCUAAUACUGACGCUGAGGUACGAAAGCAUGGGGAGCAAACAGG